CCUACGGGUGGCAGCAGUGAGGAAUAUUGGUCAAUGGGCUUACGCCUGAACCAGCAACGUCGCGUGAAGGAAGAAGGCUCUCGGGUUGGAAACUUCUUUUGGCAGGGAAGAGUAGAAGACGGUACCUGACGAAUAAGCCACGGCUAACUACGUGCCAGGAGCCUCGGUAAUACGUAGGGGGCGAGCGUUUUCCGGAUUUACUGGGGGUAAAGGGCGUGUAGCCGGGUUGACAAGUCAAAGGUGAAAUCUUGCGGCUUAACCGCAGAACUGCGUUUGAAACUGUUGAUCUUGAGUACUGGAGAGGCAGACGGAAUUCCUGGUGUAGCGGUGAAAUGCGUAGAUAUUAGGAGGAACACCAGUGGCGAAGGCGGUCUGCUGGACAGCAACUGACGGUGAGGCGCGAAAGCGUGGGGAGCAAACAGGAUUAGAUACCCGGGUAGUC
rnacentral:rRNA from 1 species